rnacentral:rRNA from 1 species
UACAGAGGAGCCAAGCGUUGUCCGGAUUGACUGGGCGUAAAGCGCACGCAGGCGGCUGCGCGCGUGGGGUGUGAAAUCUGGCCGCUUAACGGCCAGGCGCCAUCCCAUACGGCGCGACUGGAGUGAUGCAGAGGUCGAUGGAAUUGCCGGUGUAGUGGUGAAAUGCGUAGAGAUCGGCAGGAACACCCAGGGGGAAACCAGCCGACUGGGCAUCUGCUGACGCUGAGGUGCGAGAGCGUGGGGAGCGAACCGG